rfam:Pteropus alecto contig42964, whole genome shotgun sequence.
GUCUACAGCCAUGUCAACCUGAAUUAGCCUGAUGUCUGAUCUUAGAAGCUAAGCAGGGUCAGGCCUGGUUAGUACUUGGAUGGGAGACCACCUAGGAAGACCAGGUGCUGUAGGCA